rnacentral:lncRNA from 1 species
CGGCCUCAGGCAAUCCAUCUGUUUUUGUUUUCUGUACCACAUUUCCUUCUCUAUAUUUUUUGCCCUGGGCUUUGAGAUACUGCUUCAACUUGAGCUUUUGGGGAACUAAUUAGUGUUUCAACAGCACAGCAGAGACAGCAUUUCACAAAGCAAAACUGCUCCCUAAUCUCAGCAACCCCGAGAGCACAUCACAGUAUGGAGAAAACAUAAGAUCAAAGAAGCAUGCAACACUGAGCUAUCACACGGAGAACACCUGUCUGGGAAGCCACC